rnacentral:lncRNA from 1 species
UUUGAUUCUAAGUAAAAAAAACGCGUCUCUUUCGGGUGUCGAAGCAAAUGGCCAAGCCUAACAGUCCAAUCAUUUGUCCCAUUUGCUAUGCUCUAAUUUGGAUUUAUCAUUAUAGGAUUGUCGAUUAGCUAAGGAUAUGUUUUCUUAUCUGUUGUAGUGGUAGAAUUAGAAGAUGGUCUAAAAGACAAUUUAUUCCGGG